rnacentral:lncRNA from 1 species
AUCCCAUUUAUAAGAAAUAUUCAGAAUAGGUAAAUCCAUAGAGACAAAAGGAGAUUUGUAGUUGCCAGGAGUUGGAGGCAAGAAGGGUUUAACAGGUGUGCUUAAUGGGGCCUCCUAUGCAGUUGACGAAAAUGUUUUGGGCUAGAUAAGAGUGAUGGUUGCAUAACAUUGUACUAAAUGUCACUGAAUUCUGCUCUUUAAAAUUUUGAGUUUUAUUUUAUGUGGCGUGUACCCUCAAAAAAAAAAAUAGAGGUGCAGUGCUCCAGCAUGGGAUGAGGCAGCGUGGACAGGAGCAUCUCCCAACCGCAGUGAAGUCUGAGCCGCGUGCCUGCAACAAUCCCACUGUGGCAGAGAACCGCAGAGUUCCUUCCGGUUUGGCAGCAGUCAUUCGCCACCUCACAGCCCUCUGGAACCCCAGCCUGGGGGUCUCAGAACGCCGAGGCGGGGACUGGGAGCCGAGUCGGAUUCCGAGACUGUGUGGGCUAGGUUUGGCUGGAUUCAGUUACCUGGCUGAGGCCUAGUGAGCAAAAUAUCCCAAACCUCGCGUGAUUUGGAAGCGGAAGCCGGAUAAAUACGGAUCUCCAGAUGUGCCAGUCUAGAGUCUAUCGUUAUGAGGUUCCCCCUAGAGUUUCUAUUCAUCAUUUUAACCGCAUUUCAUCGAUCUUGAGACACGGCUUUUGAUAUUUUAUCACCUCAAGAUAAAUAGUGUUAGAUGUCUAACAGCAGCGUUUUUCUAAGAGAUACAUGAAACAACAGUGAGUGUCAGAAACGAUGCUGUCUUCCAUGCAAUGAAAUUGUUGUAAUAGGUGCUCAGUAAAUGUUGACAAUAAA